UACGUAGGGGGCUAGCGUUGUCCGGAUUUAUUGGGCGUAAAGAGCGUGUAGGCGGUCAGGUAGGUCCGUUGUGAAAACGCGAGGCUCAACCUCGCGCCUGCAGUGGGUACGGGCAGACUAGAGUGCGGUAGGGGAGAUUGGAAUUCCUGGUGUAGCGGUGGAAUGCGCAGAUAUCAGGAGGAACACCCGUAGCGAAGGCGGCACUCUGGGCCGAUACUGACACUGAGGAGCGAAAGCGUGGGGAGCGAACAGG
rnacentral:rRNA from 1 species